rnacentral:tRNA from 1 species
GUCCUCGGUGGCUCAGAUGGAUAGAGCGUCUGCCAUGUAAGCAGGAGAUCCUGGGUUCGAGUCCCGGUCGGGACA